rnacentral:rRNA from 1 species
CCUACGGGUGGCAGCAGUGGGGGAUAUUGCACAAUGGGGGGAACCCUGAUGCAGCGACGCCGCGUGUGGGAAGACGGUCCUCUGGAUUGUAAACCCCUGUCUCAAGGGACGAAAAUGACGGUACCUGGGGAGGAAGCUCCGGCUAACUACGUGCCAGCAGCCGCGGUAAUACGUAGGGAGAGAGCGUUGUCCGGAAUUACGGGGUGUAAAGGGAGCGUAGGCGGGGAUGCAAGUGGGGGGUAAAAACUACCGGCUAACCUUGUAGUCGCACUCAAAACUGCAACUCUUGAGGGAAGUAGAGGCAGGCGGAAUUCCUAGUGUAGCGGUGAAAUGCGUAGAGAUUAGGAGGAACACCAGUGGCGAAGGCGGCCUGCUGGACUUUUACUGACGCUGAUGCUCGAAAGUGUGGGGAGCAAACAGGAUUAGAUACCCCUGUAGUC